UACGAAGGGGGGCGAGCGUUGUUCGGAAUCACUGGGCGUAAAGGGCGCGUAGGCGGCCUCUCUUGUCGCGUGUGAAAGCCCCCGGGCUCAACCUCGGAACUGCACUGGAUACUGCCUUGCUAGAGAUCUGGAGAGGAAACUGGAAUUUACGGUGUAGCAGUGAAAUGCGUAGAGAUCGUAAGGAAGACCAGUGGCGAAGGCGAGUUUCUGGACAGAUUCUGACGCUGAGGCACGAAGGCCAGGGGGAGCAAACGGGG
rnacentral:rRNA from 1 species